CUUCCCCUUUAGGUUUAAACUGAUAUUGCCUUUAAACUAGUAAAAUUGGUUUUGGUUCCUUGGUUGAACUGUUGGGCUUCUAAAUGCCCCUUGAUAUAUAUAAGAAUAAGUCAAUGACGGGAGGCUUAUGUGUUAUGCCUUACAUACAUGAUCCAUGGAUAUUGUUAGUUUGAUAUUUAAAAAUAACAAUCAUAUGAGACUGAUAUUUCAUUUAUAAAAGCUUCCAUAGUAACUACACUUCAGUUCAGUAGCCAAGCCAUUCAAUCUUAUGGUUUCUGUUUCCUGGAGUCAUUUGUACAAGCAAAAAAUGGGUUCAAGAAUUGCAAAGACAAGGUAACUGGCAGAAUAUGGAAGCCUAAACUGAUAAUGUUCUUGAUAGUGAACAAGGUUGAUUUGGAAGAUAAACAAAAAAGUGGGAAAUGAGGGACUUCUAUUUUGUGAGGGACAUCUAGAGGGUUGCUCAAUUGUAUGUAACCUAAUUCAUACUAAUGACCGUCUGUUGUAUACUCCAUAGUAAAUAAAAGCUUUGUGACUCUUCUGGA